UUCCUUUUUAUUUAGAGAGGAAUGAAAGACCAGCAGUGCACCUGCUUGGAUAAUAAGCACGUGACCCAAAAGUUUGUUCGGGCUCCGUGGGCAGGAAUAAAGCUGGGUAUUCGACCUGGCGCAAGGACUAGCGAGAAUGUCAGAAUGAGGGACUUGGGGGAAGACUGAGGAGAGAAAGGGAGCAUCUUCUUCAGCAUCUUCUCUCCCUCCUGCAUGCAACCCUUCCUUCACAGGAAAUAAGUAACCAUGGUGCUCAACAGUUUGGAUAAGAUGAUUCAUCUCCAGAAAAACACUGCCAACAUCAGGAAUAUUUGUGUUUUGGCUCACGUUGACCAUGGAAAAACUACUCUGACUGACUGUCUUAUAUCUAGCAAUGGAAUCAUCUGCAGCCGCCUAGCAGGCAAGGUACAACUGUAACCGCUAUGAUGAGGAUGAUGCAAAGGCAGCAACAGAUGCACAGGAGAUUCUAAAUGCUGUCUCUGGGACACUGGAUUCUGUGCCCUUCAAGAUAAAUUCCAUAAUCAAGGGCCUGGCCCUGAAUAGAUUGGAGCCCAAAAAUCUCACUGAAGCAAA